rnacentral:tRNA from 1 species
UGUAAUCUGGUGUUAUUAAAUGCAUGUUAUGUUUUGGUCAUAGAGGAAAUUAGAAGUUGAUUACAG